rnacentral:rRNA from 1 species
GUGAACGCUGGCGGUAGGCCUAACACAUGCAAGUCGAACGGCAGCACAGUAAGAGCUUGCUCUUACGGGUGGCGAGUGGCGGACGGGUGAGGAAUACAUCGGAAUCUACUUUUUCGUGGGGGAUAACGUAGGGAAACUUACGCUAAUACCGCAUACGACCUACGGGUGAAAGCAGGGGAUCUUCGGACCUUGCGCGAUUGAAUGAGCCGAUGUCGGAUUAGCUAGUUGGCGGGGUAAAGGCCCACCAAGGCGACGAUCCGUAGCUGGUCUGAGAGGAUGAUCAGCCACACUGGAACUGAGACACGGUCCAGACUCCUACGGGAGGCAGCAGUGGGGAAUAUUGGACAAUGGGCGCAAGCCUGAUCCAGCCAUACCGCGUGGGUGAAGAAGGCCUUCGGGUUGUAAAGCCCAUUUGUUGGGAAAGAAAAGCAGCAGGUUAAUACCCCGCUGUUCUGACGGUACCCAAAGAAUAAGCACCGGCUAACUUCGUG